GAAAGUAAGCAAGGGCGCAUGGCGGAUGCCUUGGCUCUCGGAGGCGAUGAAGGACGUGAUAAGCUGCGAUAAGCUUCGGGUAGGUGCAAAUAACCUUUGAUCCGAAGAUUUCCGAAUGGGACAACCCGGCAUUCUGAAGGAAUGUCAUCCAUCCUGGAUGGAAGCUAACGCAGGGAACUGAAACAUCUUAGUACCUGCAGGAAAAGAAAAUAAUAAUGAUUCCCCUAGUAGUGGCGAGCGAACGGGGAUUAGCCCAAACCAAUGUUGUUACGGCAAUAUUGGGGUUGUAGGACCACGAUGUCGCAAGAACUUUAGUGAGAAGAAUUCUUUGGAAAAUGAAACCAUAGACGGUGAUAGUCCGGUAUUCGAAGCUAAACGAAGCGUAGUGGUAUCCUGAGUAGCGCGGGACACGAGGAAUCUUGCGUGAAUCUGCCGGGACCAUCCGGUAAGGCUAAAUACUCCCGAGAGACCGAUAGCGAACCAGUACUGUGAAGGAAAGGUGAAAAGCACUUCGAAUAGAAGAGUGAAAUAGUCCCUGAAACCGUGCGCCUACAAGCGGUCGGAGCAGCGUAAGUUGUGACGGCGUGCCUUUUGCAUAAUGAACCUACGAGUUACUUUUUCCGGCAAGGUUAAGCAUUUCAAAAUGUGUAGCCGAAGCGAAAGCGAGUCUGAACAGGGCGAUUAGUCGGAAGGAGUAGACGCGAAACCAAGUGAUCUACCCUUGGUCAGGUUGAAGGUUAGGUAACACUAACUGGAGGACCGAACCGAUAAGCGUUGAAAAGCUUCCGGAUGAACUGAGGGUGGGGGUGAAAGGCUAAUCAAACUUGGAGAUAGCUCGUACUCCCCGAAAUGCAUUUAGGUGCAGCCUUGGGAAUUACUACUGUGAGGUAGAGCGACUGAUAAGAUGCGAGGGCUUCACCGCCUAUCAAGUCUUGAUAAACUCCGAAUGCGCAGUAGUUCGAUCCCAGGAGUGAGGGCAUGGGUGCUAAGGUCCAUGUCCUAAAGGAGAAGAAUCCGGACCAUCAGCUAAGGUCCCGAAAUAAUUGCUAAGUUGAACUAACGAAGUCAGAUUGCUAAGACAGCUAGGAUGUUGGCUUGGAAGCAGCCAUUCAUUUAAAGAGUGCGUAACAGCUCACUAGUCGAGGAGUUUGGCGUGGAUAAUAAUCGGGCAUCAAGCAAUUUACCGAAGCUAUGGGAUCAGUAAUGAUCGGUAGGGGAGCAUUCCACUCUGCGUCGAAGGUGAAGCGUGAGCUUUGCUGGAGCGUGUGGAAAAGCAAAUGUAGGUAUAAGUAACGAUAAAGGGGGUGAGAAACCCCCUCGCCGAAAGACUAAGGUUUCCUGAUCAACGCUAAUCGGAUCAGGGUUAGUCGGGUCCUAAGGCUCAGCCGAACGGUGAGGCCGAUGGCAGAACAGGUUAAUAUUCCUGUACUACCUUAAGGAGUGACGUGGAGACGGAGCAGUGAUAGCGCCGCGGACUGACGGAAUAGUCCGUUGAAGGGUGUAGAUGUUGAUCUUUGCAGGCAAAUCCACAAAGAGAGUCGAACCUGAUAGUAUGGAACGUUCUUCGGAACAAUCCAAUAGUGCGUGUAAGCAUACUCCCAAGAAAAUCCGCUAAACUUAAUCUUUAAGGUACCCGUACCGCAAACGGACACACGUAGUCGGGUUGAAUAUACUAAGGCGCUUGAGUGAUUCACGGUUAAGGAACUAGGCAAAUUGACCCUGUAACUUCGGGAUAAAGGGUCCCAACGAGAGUUGGGCGCAGAGAAUAGGUCCAGGCAACUGUUUAACAAAAACACAGGGCUGUGCCAAAUUGAAAGAUUACGUAUACAGCCUGACACCUGCCCGGUGCUGGAAGGUUAAGAGGAGAUGUCAUCGCAAGAGAAGCAUUGAAUUGAAGCCCCAGUAAACGGCGGCCGUAACUAUAACGGUCCUAAGGUAGCGAAAUUCCUUGUCGGGUAAGUUCCGACCUGCACGAAUGGUGUAAUGAUCUGGACACUGUCUCAACCG
rnacentral:rRNA from 1 species